GAUGAACGCUGGCGGCGUGCCUCAAACAUGCAAGUCGAGCGAGGCUAUGAGUUACCGCAAGGUAAGGCAUAGCCUAGCGGCGAACGGGUGAGUAACACGUGGGUAACCUACCUGGAAGACAGGGAUAACGAUUCGAAAGGGUCGCUAAUACCUGAUAAUAUCCAUCUGCCGGAUGGCGGAGGGAAGAAAGGGGAAACCCGCUUUCAGAUGGGGCCCGCGUCCCAUCAGCUAGUUGGUAAGGUAAAGGCUUACCAAGGCGACGACGGGUAGCCGGUCUGAGAGGAUGUACGGCCACACUGGGACUGAGAUACGGCCCAGACUCCUACGGGAGGCAGCAGUUGGGAAUCUUAGGCAAUGGACGAAAGUCUGACCUAGCGACGCCGCGUGAGGGAAGAAGGCCUUCGGGUUGUAAACCUCUGUCAUGGGGGAAGAAGGAAGUGACGGUACCCCAAGAGGAAGCCCCUGCUAACUACGUGCCAGCAGCCGCGGUAAAAUCAACGUGUA
rnacentral:rRNA from 1 species